UCUCCGUAGGUGAACCUGCGGAGGGAUCACUACAGGCUUGCAAAAGCUCUGAAACCACUGUUUAUCUACCUGAAUCUGCUUCGGCGGGCGGCCCCAGGGCGGGGCCGUAGCCGCAAGGCGCCCGCCGAAGACCCCUAAACCCUGUCGUCUUGAGAAUCUCUGAGUAUCAUAUUAAACAGAAAACAACUUUCAACAACGGAUCUCUUGGCUCUG
rnacentral:misc_RNA from 1 species